GGGGAAUCUUAGACAAUGGGGGCAACCCUGAUCUAGCCAUGCCGCGUGAUCGAUGAAGGCCUUAGGGUUGUAAAGAUCUUUCAGCUGGGAAGAUAAUGACGGUACCAGCAGAAGAAGCCCCGGCUAACUCCGUGCCAGCAGCCGCGGUAAUACGGAGGGGGCUAGCGUUGUUCGGAAUUACUGGGCGUAAAGCGCACGUAGGCGGAUUGGAAAGUUGGGGGUGAAAUCCCGGGGCUCAACCCCGGAACUGCCUUCAAAACUCCCAGUCUUGAGGUCGAGAGAGGUGAGUGGAAUUCCGAGUGUAGAGGUGAAAUUCGUAGAUAUUCGGAGGAACACCAGUGGCGAAGGCGGCUCACUGGCUCGAUACUGACGCUGAGGUGCGAAAGCGUGGGGAGCAAAC
rnacentral:rRNA from 1 species